rnacentral:rRNA from 1 species
AUUGAACGCUGGCGGCAGGCCUAACACAUGCAAGUCGAACGAGUGGCGGACGGGUGAGUAAUGUCUGGGCAACUGCCUGCUGGAGGGGGAUAACUACUGGAAACGGUAGCUAAUACCGCAUACCAUCAGAUGUGCCCAGAUGGGAUUAGCUUGUUGGUGGGGUAACGGCUCACCAAGGCGACGAUCCCUAGCGGGUCUGAGAGGAUGACCAGCCACACUGGAACGGAUACACGGUCCAGACUCCUACGGGAGGCAGCGGUGGGGAAUAUUGCACAAUGGGCGCAAGCCUGAUGCAGCAAGGCCGCGUGUAUGAAGAAGGCCUUCGGGUUGUAAAGUACUUUCAGCGGGGAGGCGUUACCCGCAGAGGAAGCACCGGCUAACUCCGUGCCAGCAGCCGCGGUAAUUC